rnacentral:rRNA from 1 species
GGCAAGUCUGGUGCCAGCAGCCGCGGUAACUCCAGCUCCAAUAGCGUAUAUUAAAGUUGUUGCGGUUAAAAAGCUCGUAGUUGGAUUCCUGUCUUCGGCCGGGCGGUGCCGCCCGAUAAUCAAGGGCGUCGCACUGCCUUGGGAGCGUUGGUGUCAAAGCCGCGCUCUUUUAACGGUCGGACAAUACCACCGGAGUGGCGGGGGAUAGGCGUCGGCUCUCGCAGUUCGACGCCGAAGGACCGCCCGUAAUCGUCCGAGGUGCCUUUAACCGGGUGUCUCGGGCGGCCGGUAACGUUUACUUUGAACAAAUUAGAGUGCUCAAAGCAGGUGCAUACCUUCGCCUGAAUAUCACAGCAUGGAAUGAUGGAAUAGGA